CGCUGGCGGCAGGCCUAACACAUGCAAGUCGAACGGUAACAGGAAGUGCUUGCACUUCGCUGACGAGUGGCGGACGGGUGAGUAAUGCUUGGGAACUUGCCUUUGCGAGGGGGAUAACAGUUGGAAACGACUGCUAAUACCGCAUAAUGUCUUCGGACCAAACGGGGCUUAGGCUCCGGCGCAAAGAGAGGCCCAAGUGAGAUUAGCUAGUUGGUAAGGUAAUGGCUUACCAAGGCGACGAUCUCUAGCUGUUCUGAGAGGAAGAUCAGCCACACUGGGACUGAGACACGGCCCAGACUCCUACGGGAGGCAGCAGUGGGGAAUAUUGCACAAUGGGGGAAACCCUGAUGCAGCCAUGCCGCGUGUGUGAAGAAGGCCUUCGGGUUGUAAAGCACUUUCAGUUGUGAGGAAAAGUUAGUAGUUAAUACCUGCUAGCCGUGACGUUAACAACAGAAGAAGCACCGGCUAACUCCGUGCCAGCAGCCGCGGUAAUACGGAGGGUGCGAGCGUUAAUCGGAAUUACUGGGCGUAAAGCGCACGCAGGCGGUUUGUUAAGCUAGAUGUGAAAGCCCCGGGCUCAACCUGGGAUGGUCAUUUAGAACUGGCAGACUAGAGUCUUGGAGAGGGGAGUGGAAUUCCAGGUGUAGCGGUGAAAUGCGUAGAUAUCUGGAGGAACAUCAGUGGCGAAGGCGACUCCCUGGCCAAAGACUGACGCUCAUGUGCGAAAGUGUGGGUAGCGAACAGGAUUAGAUACCCUGGUAGUCCACACCGUAAACGCUGUCUACUAGCUGUGUGUGUCUUUAAGACGUGCGUAGCGAAGCUAACGCGCUAAGUAGACCGCCUGGGGGAGUACGGCCGCAAGGUUAA
rnacentral:rRNA from 1 species